rnacentral:rRNA from 1 species
AUUGAACGCUGGCGGCAGGCCUAACACAUGCAAGUCGAACGAGUGGCGGACGGGUGAGUAAUGCUUGGGAAACUGGCUGAUGGAGGGGGAUAACUACUGGAAACGGUAGCUAAUACCGCAUACCAUCGGAUGAGCCCAGAUGGGAUUAGGUAGUUGGUGGGGUAACGGCUCACCAAGCCGACGAUCCCUAGCUGGUCUGAGAGGAUGACCAGCCACCCUGGAAUGGAGACACGGUCCAGACUCCUACGGGAGGCAGCAUUGGGGAAUAUUGCACAAGGGGCGCAUGCCUGAUUCAGCCAUGCCGCGUGUAUGAAGAAGGCCUUCGGGUUGUAAAGUACUUUCAGCGAGGAGGCGUUACUCGCAGAAGAAGCACCGGCUAACUCCGUGCCAGCAGCCGCGGUAAUUC